UUACUGAAAAGCAUUUAAUGUAGUUCUUUGCUCCUAACAAUACAAAUUAUAUAAAUACUUCAUUAAAAUUUGUACAAAAAGCACAAUACAUAAAUAUACCACAACACAAAACCUCUCUUUGAGAGAAAACAACAAAGAAAAGAACCUACAUGGCACUAAAUGUUAAAAACAAAUCUUGUGAAGACUUUGUUCCAUGACACUCACAUUUAGUAAAAAAUCUCAAAAAAGAUUAAAACUAUGCGAUUUAAAAAAGUAAAAAUGCUAAAAAAAUAAUCUUAUUGCGUAGCUUUGAUUGUACAGGCAGACAUGUAGUUUGGGUACUUGAAAACUUUAGGCAUUUUUUAUUGCUCCUUAUUUAAGACAAUAAAUAAAAUUAAAUAUUAUUUAAUUCCUUUAUCUCCUUAUCCCCCUCCCCCCGAAAAAAAACCCAAAAUAAAAACAGAUAAGAAUAUCGAAUUAUCACUUACUAUGAAAAAUGUUUUAUAAAAUGUCACCUUACACUCCGG
rnacentral:lncRNA from 1 species